GACGAACGCUGGCGGCGUGCUUAACACAUGCAAGUCGAACGGAAAGGCCCUGCUUUUUUGGGGUGCUCGAGGGGCGAACGUGUGAGUAACACGUGAGUAACCUGCCCUUGACUUUGGGAUAACUUCAGGAAACUGGGGCUAAUACCGGAUAGGAGCUCCUGCUGCAUGGUGGGGGUUGGAAAGUUUCGGCGGUUGGGGAUGGACUCGCGGCUUAUCAGCUUGUUGGUGGGGUAGUGGCUUACCAAGGCUUUGACGGGUAGCCGGCCUGAGAGGGUGACCGGCGACAUUGGGACUGAGAGACGGCCCAGACUCCUACGGGAGGAAGUGGUGGGGAAUAUUGAACAACGGGGGGAAGCUUGAUGCAGCACUGCCGCGUGCGGGAUGACGGCGUUAGGGUUGCAACCCGCUUUAGCCUGUCACGAAGCGUGAGUGACGGUAAUGGCUAAAGAAGCACCGGCUAACUACGUG
rnacentral:rRNA from 1 species